AGAAUGUGAGAGCUUAUGGUAUUUUUGUAUGAAGAACUUUUCAGCUACAUGUAAAUGGACCUAGAUGCCUUUCUUUUUCUUUCUUUCCUUAGAGAGUCCCCCAAAUACAUUCAGAAACAAAUAUCUUAUAAUUACAGUGACUUGGAUCAAUCAAAUGUGACUGAGGAAACACCUGAAGGUGAAGAACAUCAUCCAGUGGCAGACACUGAAAAUAAGGAGAAUGAAGUUGAAGAGGUAAAAGAGGAGGGUCCAAAAGAGAUGACUUUGGAUGAGUGGAAGGCUAUUCAAAAUAAGGACCGGGCAAAAGUAGAAUUUAAUAUCCGAAAACCAAAUGAAGGUGCUGAUGGGCAGUGGAAGAAGGGAUUUGUUCUUCAUAAAUCAAAGAGUGAAGAGGCUCAUGCUGAAGAUUCGGUUAUGGACCAUCAUUUCCGGAAGCCAGCAAAUGAUAUAACGUCUCAGCUGGAGAUCAAUUUUGGAGACCUUGGCCGCCCAGGACGUGGCGGCAGGGGAGGACGAGGUGGACGUGGGCGUGGUGGGCGCCCAAACCGUGGCAGCAGGACCGACAAGUCAAGUGCUUCUGCUCCUGAUGUGGAUGACCCAGAGGCAUUCCCAGCU
rnacentral:sRNA from 1 species